UGAGCAAUGAGGACAAACUUUUUUUGUGAUCAACCGUGAUGACUUCAUACGCUAUUCUGAGCCAAAC